rnacentral:lncRNA from 1 species
UUGAAGAGAAACAUUACCAAAUAUGUCUUUUCUCCUGCCCAUAUCUUCUGUUUCCACAGGAAAAGGACGCAGGCACAGGCAGCCCAAUGGAAACACAGGAACAUCCACCGUCACUGGGGGAGGAAGGCAAGUCCUGCCUGCAGCCCUGCUCAGAGAGGAAGCAGCUGAAAGUCAACGUCUUAAACAUCAGUAAAGGGGAUGCUGACAACUUGACUUUUCUGCCAGAUUCUGCAGCUCUCUGCUUCCUGAAAAACAAUAAAGACUUGGAUUACUCAACAGGAAACCGUAUUUUUUUCAGAAGAAUUUAUUAUUUCAACCAUUCUCUUACACUUAUUCUUCUGGAAAACUCAACAGAGGAGCAGUUUUCUCCCAAGAAGGCUGCAAGAGUUCGUUCAUCUGUUCCUGAUGAAGAAUCUGUUCCUGAUGAAGAGAUUCUCUUCUGCAGUUCCACAGCACUUAUUUUUGUGUUCAGACUGAGCUUCCUCAAGAUGAGAACAAAUAAAUAGAUGCAGCUUCUGAGAAAAUCCAACACUAUAUGGAUCACACUUUUCCAUGGCCUACCCCUAUCCUGCAUGAAGCAACCAAACAGAGUAAGCACCUGCAGCUGCCUUGAGAACUGGAGUUGAAGAAGAAAGCAAAAAUUUUUGACAGAAAAUUUGGAGACAAAUUAACAAAAAAUAUUAAAUACUAAAAUAUAUACCUCCCUGAAAUAUAUAGAAAUAUAUAUACUAAAAUACCUCCCUGAAAAUAGAAGUGGUAACAUAAUACUAACAUGCUUGGGGGUUUAUGGUCUUAUUCCCCUCUUUAGACAGAGUUCUUUGGUUUAAGUACAUUUUCCAGGACACAACAUAGCCUCCUUACCUGAAGAAGAGAUCUGUUUCAUUACAAAAGACAGAGGUCAACAUGGGAGUAUGCCUUUUCAUCAGGAAAUUUGAACACAAACUUUGAAGCAUACUUUUGCCCCAAAAUUAAUGUGUUCUGACUACUGAAAUUCUACUUUUCCAUAGCUUGCAGUAUUUAGAAUAGUAGAUAAACAGACCAGCAUGUAAACAGGCAGACGGAUAGGCAGAUUUUUUACCAAAGGCAAGCAUCUUCUCAUAUUUUUGAAAAGACAGUUUUCAAAGACCUUUUAAAAAGACUGAUUCUGAUAGAAAUAACCAAACAUUGAAAUAAGCAGCAAUUAAAAGUCAAACUGCAAUGUACAGAAUCAUAUCCCACCUAUAGCUCUGUGGUUCUGGCCACAUCUGUCUCUUUAUGAUGAAAUUAGGAAAUGCACUGUAAGCCCAAGUCACGAUUCCUCAAGGCUAAGAGAAAGCUUAGUGCUGUUUUCCACAGAAGUAGCAGACAUGCCUGAAUUCAUAGUCCUCAAUUUGAUAUGGAAAAGUCAUGAUAUGGAAAAGUUUUUCUGAUCCACAGUAACAAAUAAGCAAUUGGUGUGCCACAUGCUGUCCUCCUUGGCUAACUACACUGAUAGUUGGGUCCUCUUGUGACAUUUUCAUAGGAUGUUUGAACACUAUAUGAUAUUACUGUCAUGUGCUUACAGUUUUCAGAUCAGAAAUGGCUGGACAGCUUGGAGGAGAGAAACAAGUAGUCAUUUAACCUGCACCCAUUUAGUAAGUGAAGUCCUUGCAAGAUCCAACUUAUCAUUGUUGAAUGUUUUUUGCAGGCAACCUCUGAAGUGAUGUACAAUCAAUUAUGUGGAAAGCAAAUUUAAUUUCACUUCAGAGCUCACACUCUCAGCUAAUGGGAAUAACUCCUUUUUUUCUUGUCUCUUUAAUUCUUAUUUUGAAAAUGUAAUUAUUGUCUGGGAAAUCUGACUCCCAUUAGCCACAUGCCAAGUACUGACUCAUAUCUGUGUACAAGAUGUUCCUAGCUCUUGUGCAUGUAUUAUUAUUUAUUUGUAAAAUGUAUCACAUCAGCCACUUUCUAAAUGUGCAGAAAGCAAAGGAAAAGGACCCCCAGCAUAACCAAAGGGUUGGGUUCUGGGGAUUCUUUCCCCCUUACUUGAUCCUAUUUGCAUCUUUCCGCUUUUGAUGUCUUUUGACAGAACUGCUUCAUAUGGUUCAGAAGCAAUCAUGGACUCUAAAGCACCACCAAGACAUGGCAAACCUCCAACCCUGUUUCUAAUAAGAUGCUGAUGAAGUAGCCUACAGUGAAUAUAUAGUGUCUUGAUAACAAGCUGGCUAAAAUGGUUUAGUUCCCAUUCCUGAAUUACCAGGUUAGAGCAUUUCUCUAGUGAUGGCAACACUCAAAUGCAAUAACAGUCAUGGUAUCAGCCUUGCAUUGAUGCCAUUUUCCAGCACACUCAAUGAUGUUUGGGCACUCCUGAAAUUAAUCUGGUCUCUUUUGCAUGUGUGUGUGUGUGUGUGUGUGUGUGUGUGUGUGUGUGUGUGUGUGGCACAUUCUGAUUGAGAACCAGGAAGAAAGAGAGACUUGCUGGUUUACAAUGUGUAUAGUUCCUGAAAAAUCUUUACUGCUAAUAAACACUAAGUAUCACUUAUAGUCA